rnacentral:rRNA from 1 species
AGUGAAUAGAUACCCAGGUAGUCCUAGCCGUAAACGAUACUCGCUAGGUGUCGGCCACGGUGCGACCGUUGUCGGUGCCGUAGGGAAAGCCGUGAAGCGAGCCACCUGGGAAGUACGGCCGCAAGGCUGAAACUUAAAGGAAUUGGCGGGGGAGCACCACAACGGGUGGAGCUUGCGGUUUAAAUUGGAUUCAACGCCGGAAAUCUUACCGGGACCGACAGCAAUAUGAAGGCCAGGCUGAAGACUUUGCCGGAUUAGCUGAGAGGUGGUGCAUGGCCGUCGUCAGUUCGUACUGUGAAGCAUCCUGUUAAGUCAGGCAACGAGCGAGACCCACGCCCACAGUUGCCAGCGUACUCUCCGGAGUGACGGGGUACACUGUGGGGACCGCCGCUGCUAAAGCGGAGGAAGGAAUGGGCAACGGUAGGUCAGUAUGCCCCGAAUAUCCCGGGCUGCACGCGAGCUACAAUGGUUGGUACAAUGGGUAUCUACCCCGAAAGGGGAUGGAAAUCUCCUAAAGCCAAUCUUAGUUCGGAUUGGGGGCUGCAACUCGCCCUC